rnacentral:tRNA from 1 species
GGCUUCAUAGCUCAGUUGGUUAGAGCGUCGCACCGGUAUCGCGAGGUCACGGGCCCCGUUGAGGUCC